UGAGCUAAAAUGCAGACGAGUCCUACAACAUAUAGAUGCAAUGAAAGGUUGUCUAUCAAAUUUCAAAAUGUACAUAUUUUAAAUUUUUUAGUCUGGCAUUAUAGUUUGGGAAAAGUUCAACAAGUGAAUGUGUAAGUUUAUGUCACAGUUUUAACACUAUUAACAUAAGUUUAAAAAAAUGACUCAGAAUGAGAUCGUCCGCUGGAUUAAGCUGUGACUCGCAUCGCAUUCUUCUUCUUUUGAGAGCUGUUGUGGACAUUUACAUGUCCGCGCAUCUCAAGCUUGGUUUUGCAUGGAUAAAUAUCUUAUAGCGCACGGUGUAAUGAACAUGAUCAUAUUAUAGAUGAGCUCAGACGGGGAAAGACUGUACCUUGCAUUGGUUUCAUACAGAUUAUUUUAUCAGAGAAUAUUUGUUUUCGAUAUGACUUAGCUUAAUUUAAUAACAU